AGUAAUGCCUGGGAAUAUGCCCUGAUGUGGCGGAUAACUAUUGGAAUCGAUAGCUAAUACCGCAUAAUCUCUUCGGAGCAAAGAGGGGGACCUUCGGGCCUCUCGCGACUGGAUUAGCCCAGGUGGGAUUAGCUUGUUGGUGAGGUAAUGGCUCACCAAGGCAACGAUCCCUAGCUGGUCUGAGAGGAAGAUCAGCCACACUGGAACUGAGACACGGUCCAGACUCCUACGGGUGGCAGCAGUGGGGAAUAUUGCACAAUGGGGGAAACCCUGAUGCAGCCAUGCCGCGUGUAUGAAGAAGGCCUUCGGGUUGUAAAGUACUUUCAGUAGGGAGGAAGGCAGUGUCGUUAAUAGCGGCAUUUUUUGACGUUACCUACAGAAGAAGCACCGGCUAACUCCGUGCCAGCAGCCGCGGUAAUACGGAGGGUGCGAGCGUUAAUCGGAAUUACUGGGCGUAAAGCGCAUGCAGGCGGUCUGUUAAGCAAGAUGUGAAAGCCCGGGCCUCAACCUCGGAACAGCAUUUUGAACUGGCAGACUAGAGUCUUGUAGAGGGGGGUAGAAUUUCAGGUGUAGCGGUGAAAUGCGAAGAGAUCUGAAGGAAUACCGGUGGCGAAGGCGGCCCCCUGGACAAAGACUGACGCUCAGAUGCGAAAGCGUGGGGAGCAAACAGGAUUAGAUACCCUGGUAGUCCACGCCGUUAACGAUGUCUACUUCGAGGUUGUGGCCUUGAUCCGU
rnacentral:rRNA from 1 species